CACGUAGGGUGCGAGCGUUGUCCGGAAUUAUUGGGUGUAAAGAGCUCGUAGGCGGUGUGUCGCGUCGGCCGUGAAAACCUGCAGCUUAACUGUGGGCUUGCGGUCGAUACGGGCAUGACUGGAGUUCGGCAGGGGAGACUGGAAUUCCUGGUGUAGCGGUGAAGUGCGCAGAUAUCAGGAGGAACACCGGUGGCGAAGGCGGGUCUCUGGGCCGAUACUGACGCUGAGGAGCGAAAGCGUGGGGAGCGAACAGG
rnacentral:rRNA from 1 species